UCAGUUUAGGCACCAAAACUAUGCUCUGGAGGAGGCCAGAUAUGGGGAGCGCCGGCUCACCAAGAGCGUGGAACAACUGAGCCAGAUUACUGGCUGGAAUGCUGACGGGGCCGAGAGGUCUGACUUUACUGCCUUUAUCUGAAGCUUUCAACCAAAUCUCAGCAGAUAAAGUUGGCUUGAAUUCAUUUCAGUUGGACUUUACCCAGAUCUGGGAAUUCUGCUUUGUCUUUUAUUGAAUAUCAUCAGGCUGUAAACAAACACAGCUAAAAAAUUAACAUCAUAUGUCGGCUCAAAGAACUUCAAAUAGUGAGUAAAAGACCAUACACAUUGUAAACAGGGAUAUUUGUGAAGUCUUUUGCACAAAAACAGCCUCUCCUUUAUACAUUGUGUACUCUAGCUUUAACCACCAAACUACUAAGUGACCAGCUGGUUUUAAACGUGUGUGACAGCCAAUCAGGAUGAGGAUAAGAGCAUCACCAGCUGAGUCUUUUCUUUGUUUAAAGUUUUGAUUCUGAAUGUAGAAAACAGAAGAAAAAAAUGUUUUCACCCUCGAUAAAGAGAAACACUAGAAGUUCUAAUGUUCUGCUGCCUGGAAGCUUUUAGAGAUUCUGCUGGAAAUAAAUAUCCAGCUUGAUUACUGAUCAUUUUGUCUUAGACUGAAAACAAGAUGAGAGGUUAGAAAACUGACUGAGGGCUGAAACCGGCACCAUGGAAAUGUUAAAUACUUCCUGAAUAAAUAAAAAACUCCAGGAUCUUG